UCGGAUCCCGGCGACUCCUCGCCCCCACCUCCUUCCUUGCUCCCGGCGCCCAAUCUCCUAGGAUCCCGGCGACGCCUCGCCCCCACCUCCUUCCUCGCUCCAGGCACCGCCCGACCCCCAACCUCCCUGGAUCUGGCGUCACUCCACCACCACCUCCUACAUCCCAUAGCAGCGGUCGCCCCUGCCGCCUGUGUGCGCCUCCGUCAUCCUCCCGGCGCCGGUUGUGCGCAUCGCCCCACGCCGCCUGCCACGCGAGCGCCCACCCCAAACCGCUGGCUCGCCGGCUUGCCAGGCAACCGCUGGCUUGUUCUUCCUCUGGCCACCGCUAGCUCGCCGGCCGUUCACCUUCGCCACCUACUGAAGGUCGGCUUUUUGAAAUAGCCAUCAUGUAUACAACAACUACGGCAGUGGCCUUGGAUGCGCCCAACGAAGGACAACGAUAGGCAAAAAAAUGCUAGUGCAGCUGCUUGCCUCCUCUUCAUAUUCCAUACCAGAAAACAUCCUUCGCCCCUUUAUUUUCUUUAGUAAGUUUUCAUUAAAAGACCUCAGAAUAGCAAGUAGAAGUUCGGCACAAGGACCUACAUCAGUUCAACUACAGAAACAGAACAAGUCCAUGAGAUUAUAAUUAAGUUCAAAAUUACUACAUGGUCAUGUAUUUAACAGCAUGUCCAUGAAUUAGUACAUGAGAAGUACAAAAAAUACUACUGGUUAUAGUUCAUUUAAAUCAUGACAUCUGAAUCGGGGUCAACCCUUGCCACCAUGCUUCUACACGGCCGGACACCAUGCCUCCUUUCACCACCCCAUGGCAAGAGUUAGUUUGGUUGGAAAUUAUGUGCACUGAACUUGUCGAUUGUUGUAUCUGUGAGAGUUAAAUUUUUGUUUUAAAAGUUUACCAUUAAUUAGAACAAUUUUGAUGAACCGUGGGAGCUCAGUUAGCUGACAAAAAAUCUUUUGCUUAGUGCCUAUAUGAUACCAGGAGGCACUGUUCAUGUAAGAGGUUCAAAGAUUGUAGUGGAGCAAGUCUAGCUUCUUUUUCAGUUCAGAUCAAUUUCUAAAUUUCAUUCAGUUCAAGCCUUAUUGUAGUGUAAAGUUCAGUUGGAGGUAUUCGUCCAGCUGCCGAUGCAGUGCUGGCCAUUCUUGGCGCUGCCUAUGUUUGAUCAAAUGUCAAAGAGAACCUCAUCUAGCUCUCCGUGUCAUCUGUCAUGUGAGUGGCUGUGCUCAGUGAAUGCGUGCCUCAUCUAGCUCUUUUUGAUACCUUUGUUCUUCCAGUCCUUGUAGAAGACAGAGCUCCCAUGAUUCACACAUGGAACCCAGAUGAUUCCAUUUCUUCGUACCCCCAAGUGCUUUAAUGGUGGCACACUACGGGUUUCAGGUUACUCGUGUGUUAAGACUAGCUAAGAUAGACUCGCAUGUGAAUGAUUCUUUUUUUUUCCUUGUCAUUCUUGUACAGCCUGCCAUGAAAAAAUGUGACAACAUAAUACUAAAUAUUUGUGUAUUCUAUUCUAUCGUCAGUUCAUAGAGAAGCAAUUCUCUUUUCUUCAGUGUGUACUCUAUCAUCAGUUCCGUGUUUAUUUAUGUUCUCUUUUCUUCAGUCCACAAGAAGAAAUAUUGUCAGUUCAAGAAUGGAGAAUUUUUGUACUAAACUUAAUAUUAAUUCGGUGUGUAUUCUAUCGUCAUUACAUGAAAAAACACAGAAUAGUUGGUGCCUGUGCAGAAAUAUCGUUAGUUCAAGUUUCAAAAUUCUGUAAGUUUAGAUAUAUCACCCAAAUAAGUGAUGAUUUUCAGCGAGUUUCUUCAGUGUCAAUUCUGAUUCAAGUGCCCUGUUCUUCCUAGCACAUAUGGUGCUUGUAUUAAUUCCUAUGGGAGAAUAGCACGUACAUGAACUGUUUACUAGUGAUGAAAACAGGAUAAAGUCCUAAGAUAAUAUAGGUACUAAGCAAGCACUCAACUAUGUGGUGUUUUAAACAAAAGUAAUACUUUAACUAAGUUUUACAAAUGUUUACACUAAUUGUGUUAUAGUCUGGUUGCAUUUGAUUGACGAACUCGUGUCCACAAAAAGUAAUACUACUUUAACUAAGUUUUAAAAACGUUUGCAUAAAAAACAGUUCAAACGUAAUUGCACAAAAGGUUCAAUAUGUGGUGUCUUAGGAGUCUCAUAAUGCAAAAUAUACCGGUGAUUUUUUUUCUGGUUGUAUUGACUUGAUACAUUAUUAUGAUUGUUCCCGGGAGUCUACAAGUGCAGGAAUGGCAGUCCCAGACUAUUGACACCGAAACAUUUGAGAUUUUUCCGGCUCAGUGUCAGUGAUAAUAAACAAGUCAUUAGGCGAGCACAUUCUUUGGAUAAUGAAUUAGAUGUUCUAGGACCUGCACAGGUUGUUAGUGGAAUUAGGCGAGCAUAUUCGUUGGAUAAUGAAUUAGGCGACCAGCAGUCCAACCCGGCCGCCCCAAGCCGUUCACCAUCGCAGCUACUAGGCCGAUUGUGUUGAGCCUCCUGCCACUGCCGGUGGGGCUCCAUUGCCGCACCGCCCAUAUCGUUCACCGCUGCCACACCGGGGUGUUGACAACCCCGCGGCUCAGGAGGCACACACUUCGCCCCUCCAUCCCAGGAGAGAGUACAUCUCCUUGUGCGCGAGCAGUCCAUUGCCGAUGUACACUGCUGCUCUAAGCUCCUUGGCCACUGCUCCAAUAUGUCCAGCGCCGUCCCCAGUCCAGUCUCGUGGCAUCUGGACGGUCGAGUUCAUGCCGAGCAGCAGUCCACGGCCGUCAGCUCCUAUUUCCACUAUAGUGGCUGGGUUGCCGUUUUCCUCAUCCUUCCUGGUGCAUGACAACCCAGCCCACAUGCUGCUGCCGUCCGCCACCCCAAAAUAGCUUUGGCUCUUCCUUAAGCAACCAUUUGGAGAACCUUUUGGUGUUUUUUCUGCUGGUGAUUGAUUUUAGCAAUUUGUAGCUAUCUUGCAUUGGAACCUGAAAGUUCAAGAUUGCUGUAGAUUCAAUUCUUGUAGUAUAAAUGUCCCAGAGUUCAGUGACAUCUCUAAUAUUGUGCUCAGCAUCCUCCCAAUCCGCUCGAUCUCGUCCUGCUCCGGAGCAUGCUUCAGUUCAACAAAAAGCUCCGGAAAAGUUCAGAGUUCGGAGUACUUUGCAUCCAUGGGCUAAAGUCGUGGAUUGCGCCCUGCACGUCGUUUCGCAAUGAGCCAGGAUAGAGGUUGUUGGACACUGUCGUGCACGCCGUGAGCAGCUGUGGCCGUUGGACACCCGUUCGGAGUUUUGGCCAAGAACCAUCGUCGGCCAGUAGGGUGUCACCUGAUUUUCGUGCAACAACGACAACUUGGUAAGCCUUGCAUAGACAGGCUUCGCAAUGAUGAAUGCAUGAAGAUCUUUGUAGGUCCUGGCGACUGUGAUAAAGGCAAGUGCUUAAGUGGUUUUUGCUGAAGAAGAAUGGCCUAGCUUACCUGGCGUAGCAGUACUCAAAGUCAAGUAUCGAUGAUGUGGAAGCAUUGAAACUUUUCCUAGUUGCUUGACUUCAAUAACUAUGCCUUUUGAGAUCGUACCAUUUGGUCAUCUUAUGGCUUUGUAUCGAACUUCUAGUCAUCAUGUUACAACCGUUCGAUGAAGAAAAUACAUUAGUCCAAAAGCAUGCAGGUGCUAAUGCUGCAGCGAUCUCGUUCGCAGCCGCAAGGAUCUUGUUCUGUUUAAUGUUGUUUGAUGUUCAUAGAUACACGUAAAAGUUCACCGUUA